rnacentral:rRNA from 1 species
GAUGAACGCUGGCGGCGUGCUUAACACAUGCAAGUCGAACGGAGUUUACAUGUGAGCGGAGGGUGCUUGCAUCUAACAAUCUUUUGUAAACUUAGUGGCGGACGGGUGAGUAACGCGUGGGUAACCUGCCGUAUACAGGGGGACAACAGUUGGAAACGACUGCUAAUACCGCAUAAGCGCACAGGACCGCAUGGUCUGGUGUGAAAAACUCUGGUGGUAUACGAUGGACCCGCGUCUGAUUAGCUAGUUGGUGAGGUAACGGCCCACCAAGGCGACGAUCAGUAGCCGGCCUGAGAGGGUGAACGGCCACAUUGGGACUGAGACACGGCCCAA